AGGAUAUUAUAUUUUCUUAAUGUCCUGUUCUCAUUUCAGCAACUCGGCAACAGGAUGUUGAUGAGAGUGAGACUUGAGCCAUGGAUGGCGAAUGUCGAACGGUUGCGUCAAAUUGCCAAUAUUUUUAUCAGGGCAUUUAGAAAAUAUUAUAUCCGUA
rnacentral:ncRNA from 1 species